CAGCAGCCGCGGUAAUACCGAGGGUGCGAGCGUUAAUCGGAUUUACUGGGCGUAAAGCGUGCGUAGGCGGCUAAUUGAGUCGGAUGUGAAAUCCCCGAGCUUAACUUGGGAAUUGCAUUCGAUACUGGUUAGCUAGAGUGUGGGAGAGGAUGGUAGAAUUCCAGGUGUAGCGGUGAAAUGCGUAGAGAUCUGGAGGAAUACCGAUGGCGAAGGCAGCCAUCUGGCCUAACACUGACGCUGAGGUACGAAAGCAUGGGGAGCAAACAGGAUUAGAUACCCCUGUAGUCCCUGUCUCUUAUAC
rnacentral:rRNA from 1 species